rnacentral:rRNA from 1 species
AUUGAACGCUGGCGGCAGGCCUAACACAUGCAAGUCGAGCGGAUGAAGGGAGCUUGCUCCUGGAUUCAGCGGCGGACGGGUGAGUAAUGCCUAGGAAUCUGCCUGGUAGUGGGGGAUAACGUCCGGAAACGGGCGCUAAUACCGCAUACGUCCUGAGCGAGAAAGUGGGGGAUCUUCGGACCUCACGCUAUCAGAUGAGCCUAGGUCGGAUUAGCUAGUUGGUGGGGUAAAGGCCUACCAAGGCGACGAUCCGUAACUGGUCUGAGAGGAUGAUCAGUCACACUGGAACUGAGACACGGUCCAGACUCCUACGGGAGGCAGCAGUGGGGAAUAUUGGACAAUGGGCGAAAGCCUGGUCCAGCCAUGCCGCGUGUGUGAAGAAGGUCUUCGGAUUGUAAAGCACUUUAAGUUGGGAGGAAGGGCAGUAAGUUAAUACCUUGCUGUUUUGACGUUACCAACAGAAUAAGCACCGGCUAACUUCGUG